UACGGGGGGGGCAAGCGUUGUUCGGAAUUACUGGGCGUAAAGGGCGCGUAGGCGGUUCGAUAAGUCAGCUGUGAAAACCAUGGGCUUAACUCAUGGCCUGCAGUUGAGACUGUCGGGCUGGAGUGUGGGAGAGGAGAGUGGAAUUCCUGGUGUAGCGGUGAAAUGCGUAGAUAUCGGGAGGAACACCAGUGGCGAAGGCGGCUUCCUGGCCUGUUCUUGACGCUGAGGCGCGAAAGCUAGGGGAGCAAACGGG
rnacentral:rRNA from 1 species